rnacentral:misc_RNA from 1 species
AAUUAUCAACCUUGCUCGCUUUUACCGGCUUGAGUUAGGCUUGGAUGUGAGGGUCUUUGCUGGCUUCCUUCAGUGGAUGGUCUGCUCCCUUUAAAUGCAUUAGUGGGAUCUCUUGUGGACCGUCACUUGGUGUGAUAAUUAUCUAUGCCAUCUUGACUUUGAAGCAAACUAAUGGGAACCUGCUCAUAACCGUCCUUUUCAAGGACAACUCUUGACA